rnacentral:rRNA from 1 species
CACCGCCCGUCACAUCACGAAAGUUGGCUGUACUAGAAGUCGCCCAGCCAACCCGCAAGGGAGGCAGGCGCCGACGGUAUGGUUGAUGAUUGGGGUG